rnacentral:rRNA from 1 species
AGUGAACGCUGGCGGUAGGCCUAACACAUGCAAGUCGAACGGCAGCACAGUAAGAGCUUGCUCUUACGGGUGGCGAGUGGCGGACGGGUGAGGAAUACAUCGGAAUCUACUUUUUCGUGGGGGUUAACGUAGGGAAACCUACGCUAAUAUCGCAUACGACCUACGGGUGAAAGCAGGGGAUCUUCGGACCUUGCGCGAAUGAAUGAGCCGAUGUCGGAUUAGCUAGUUGGCGGGGUAAUGGCCCACCAAGGCGACGAUCGGCAGCUGGUCUGGGAGGAUGGUCGGCCACACUGGAACGGAGACACGGUCCAGACUACUAAGGGAGGCAGCAGUGGGGAAUAUUGGACAAUGGGCGCAAGCCUGAUCCAGCCAUACCGCGUGGGUGAAGAAGGCCUUCGGGUUGUAAAGCCCUUUUGUUGGGAAAGAAAAGCAGCAGGUUAAUACCCCGCUGUUCUGACGGUACCCAAAGAAUAAGCACCGGCUAACUUCGUG